GACGAACGCUGGCGGCGUGCUUAACACAUGAAAGUCGAACGGAAAGGCCCUGCUGUUGUGUGGUGUUCGAGUUGCGAACGGGUGAGUAACUCGUGAGUAACCUGCCCUUGACUUUGGGAUAACUUCAGGAAACUGGGGCUAAUACCGGAUAGGAGCUCCUGCAUCACGGUGUGGGUUGGAAAGUUUCGGCGGUUGGGGAAGGACUGGCGGCUUAUAAGCUUGUUGGUGGGGUAGUGUCUUACCAAGGCUUUGACGGGUAGCCGGCCUGAGAGGGUGACAGGCCACAUUGGGACUGAGAUACGGGCCAGACUCAUACGGGAGGCAGCAGUGGGGAAUAUUGCACAAUGGGCGGAAGCCUGAUGCAGCAACGCCGCGUGCGGGAUGACGGCCUUCCGGUUGUAAACCGCUUUCGCCUGUGACGAAGCGUGAGUGACGGUAAUGGGUAAAGAAGCAACGGCUAACUACGUG
rnacentral:rRNA from 1 species